GUCGGCUAUGGUGAUAUGGUUCCACAUGAAUUUUGGGGUAAAAUGGUUGGCUCUCUUUGUGCUAUUGCUGGUGUACUUACCCUGUCUCUUCCCGUGCCUGUGAUAGUCUCAAAU
rfam:Tetranychus urticae London genomic scaffold, scaffold_9